rnacentral:rRNA from 1 species
ACGGAAGGCAGCAGUGGGGAAUAUUGCACAAUGGGCGAAAGCCUGAUGCAGCGACGCCGCGUGAGUGAAGAAGUAUCUCGGUAUGUAAAGCUCUAUCAGCAGGGAAGAAAAUGACGGUACCUGACUAAGAAGCCCCGGCUAACUACGUGCCAGCAGCCGCGGUAAUACGUAGGGGGCAAGCGUUAUCCGGAUUUACUGGGUGUAAAGGGAGCGUAGACGGUUUGGCAAGUCUGAAGUGAAAUGCGGGGGCUCAACUCCUGAACUGCUUUGGAAACUGUCGAACUAGAGUGCAGGAGAGGUAAGUGGAAUUCCUAGUGUAGCGGUGAAAUGCGUAGAUAUUAGGAGGAACACCAGUGGCGAAGGCGGCUUACUGGACUGUAACUGACAUUGAGGCUCGAAAGCGUGGGGAGCAAACAGGAUUAGAUACCCUGGUA